UUGCCUCAGGAAGCCGAGCUCGUCUGGAUUCCCACCAUGGCCUGGGCCCUUCUGCUCCUCACGCUGCUCACUUACUGCUCAGGGUCCUUGGCCCAGUUUGUGCUGACUCAGCCGCCCUCAGCCUCUGCGUCUCCUGGGCAAACGGUUACGAUCUCCUGUGCCAGGAGCAGCAGCAGCAUCGGUAGCUACUAUGUAUCCUGGUACCAACAGAAGCCUGGAAAUGCCCCAAAGCUAAUUAUAUAUGAGUGGAACAAGAGACCCUCUGGAAUCUCUGACCGAUUCUCCGGCUCUACAGACACCUCCGCCAAUGCUGCCUCCUUAACCAUUUCUGGGGUCCAAGCCGACGAUGAGGCUGAUUAUUACUGUGCUUCAAAUGAAGGCAACUACAGGAUCUUCGGUGGAGGAACCCAGCUGACCGUCCUUGGUCAGCCAAAGGCAUCUCCCACCGUGCACCUCUUCCCUCCAUCCUCGGAAGAGAUAAGUACAAAGAGCAAAGCCACGCUGGUGUGUCUGAUAGAAGGUUUUUACCCUGGGUCAGUCCAAGUCACCUGGAAAGCUGACAGCAAGCAGAUCUCCACUGGAGUGGAGACGACCAAACCCUCCAAACAGAGUGACAACAAGUACAUGGCCAGCAGUUACCUGUCUCUGGCUGCAUCAGAUUGGAAGAGCAAUGAGUCCUACACCUGCGAGGUGACACAUGAUGGGAAAAACAUUGUGAAGUCUUUGCAGCGCUCACAGUGUUCUUAACCCUCUGACGGCUCAGCUGGUCCUUGUGUCUAUCAGUAGAAUUUUCCACAAAAGAGCCGGGAUCAGUCUGUAGCAUCACCUUAAUGCUGAUCUCCAGCAGGCUCUGCUUCCUGUGUGAUGUGGGGGAUCUUUGAUGAUCCCUUUGAUAUCUGCUUUUAUUCCCAUGUUCCCACUGCUCUCACCCCUCUGCAUUCCCUGGAAAUGUCCUUCCUGCUUUAGUCUCUGAUGCAGCCUUGUUAUGAUAUUAAUAAAACCAGAAACAUUCACCUAUCGUUGUGUCCGUGAAGAGUUAAAAUUAUUGCCUCUUUCAAAUGUUUUCAAAAAGUUGUUUAUCAUGAUUCUGCAAUAAAAAGAUGGACAUUUA